CAGUCCGUAGUCCUAGAUUCUAUCCCGGAUCAUUCGCGGUGCUGAAGAUGCGAUGGGGUAUCCUCCGGUCAGCAAGCUUCUAUCUGAUAGAUGUUCAAACAGUAGUGUGGAACCAUCGGCUUUGUGGACCAAAAAAAAAAGGAUUAUCUUGCAAGUGCAAUGUGGGGCGACAGAAAUAAUGGCUAAGCUUGAGUUAUGUAAACCUUUGGGUUAUGUAUUGUUUAGUAUGGACAUAUUUAUCUUUUCGUUGUUGGAUCA